UCCAACAUGCAUUAAGCCUCCUCUUAUGUUACUUUCUUUGCUACACCAGAAAUGUCGGUGUGACCCGGUGCAAGUUUAAAAUUUAAGAAAGAAAUCAUACUUACGCAUUUCGUGAAUAUUGGAAAAUCCCACAAAAACAUACAUGAGUUUUCAUAACACUUUCCAUUCAUUUUCUAUAUCGCUUAUUUAUCCUGUUCAGGGUCAUAUCGAGUUAAAACCUACCCUCGCUGGCAUCUAGAAACAGAUUACACCCUGGAUUGGUCGCUAGUCAAUCAAAAGGUACAAGAGAAGCCAGACAACCACCCAAAUGUCACUGAGUUGUAACUAAACCCAUGCUGCCUCAACAGACACCAAGUGAGUGAACCACUACAUCAACGGUGACUGCACAGGCAACAUUUUACAAUUCAAUGUAUUUGAAAAAUGACUAAAAAUAAAAACAUGGACAGUAGAAAAUAUUUUACAUAAAUAUU